CCCAGGUGACCCACUUGGGUACCUCUUGGUAUUUCCCUGCUCAAUUAUUACUGUUAAUGAACAGGUAUAGACACCCAGGCAUGAGAAGAUCAUGGUGAUGAAGGGCUCAUAACCUUGUUGAUAAGGAUCUGGGUUACACUACCAGGAAGAGAGGCCUGUGGGAAUCCUGGAGGAGCUGCUCCUUGAAAGUAUAUGGGGAAGUGGAUCUAAGUGGCCCCGGGGGAGAACACAGGCAUGUUCUCCCAGACUCCUUCCAGGAAGAACUAGCUCUGAGGCAGAGUACAGUCAGCAGAGAGCUUCCAGCUUUCAGCUCUGCCUCAGCGGCAGAGUCAGCUCGAAUUCCCACCAUUCCUGGGGAUGCCUGCAUUUACCUGGUUGCUGAGUGACACUGAUGGGUAUACUCACUCCAGAGCUCUCUGCCAGGUCGGCUGAGGCUUUAUGGAGCCUAUAUUGCAGUUCAAGUUCUUCCUCCACCCAUCCUACAUCCCCCACACUCCUCUCCCUAAUAAAUAUCUGCACUGCAUAUUCCAUCUCAA